CAGAAGGUACACUCGUGCGUAAGCUCAAAUGAAACCUGAACGGACCCCCAUAAGCCCGACAGGUGCACAGAAAAGUUAAGUCUACUGAGAAAGAAGGAAACCGGGCUCCCAGCCCAAAGUAACUAAGAUAAUCCAUCAGACUACACCCAGCCAGCAGUGCACUCCCAGCCCAGCUAGAAAUAGUGACCCUAGGGGGCACCCAACCAAACAGUCCACUCCCAGCCCAGCUAGAAAGAGGGACCCGUGAGUGAGGUAGAUAUCGCGAGUCGUCCUACCAUGCAGUCAGCUCCCAGCCCAG
rnacentral:lncRNA from 1 species